rnacentral:rRNA from 1 species
AGUGAACGCUGGCGGCGUGCCUAAUACAUGCAAGUCGAACGGAGAUUAAGUAGCUUGCUAUUUAAUCUUAGUGGCGCACGGGUGAGUAAUAUAUAGCUAAUCUGCCCUACACUAGAGGACAACAGUUGGAAACGACUGCUAAUACUCUAUACUCCUUCUAAGCAUAAGCUUAGUCGGGAAAGUUUUUCGGUGUAGGAUGAGGCUAUAUCGUAUCAGCUAGUUGGUGAGGUAAUGGCUCACCAAGGCUAUGACGCGUAACUGGUCUGAGAGGAUGAUCAGUCACACUGGAACUGAGACACGGUCCAGACUCCUACGGGAGGCAGCAGUAGGGAAUAUUGCUCAAUGGGGGAAACCCUGAAGCAGCAACGCCGCGUGGAGGAUGACACUUUUCGGAGCGUAAACUCCUUUUCUUGGGAAAGAAUUAUGACGGUACCCAAGGAAUAAGCACCGGCUAACUCCGUGCCAGCAGCCGCGGUAAUACGGAGGGUGCAAGCGUUACUCGGAAUCACUGGGCGUAAAGGACGCGUAGGCGGAUUAUCAAGUCUCUUGUGAAAUCUAACGGCUUAACCGUUAAACUGCUUGGGAAACUGAUAAUCUAGAGUAAGGGAGAGGCAGAUGGAAUUCUUGGUGUAGGGGUAAAAUCCGUAGAGAUCAAGAAGAAUACCCAUUGCGAAAGCGAUCUGCUGGAACUUAACUGACGCUAAUGCGUGAAAGCGUGGGGAGCAAACAGGAUUAGAUACCCUGGUAGUCCACGCCCUAAACGAUGUAUACUAGUUGUUGCUUCGCUAGUCGAGGCAGUAAUGCACCUAACGGAUUAAGUAUACCGCCUGGGGAGUACGGUCGCAAGAUUAAAACUCAAAGGAAUAGACGGGGACCCGCACAAGCGGUGGAGCAUGUGGUUUAAUUCGAAGAUACGCGAAGAACCUUACCCGGACUUGAUAUCUAACAAAUCAUCCAGAGAUGGAAGAGUGUCUGCUGCAGAAAUGUUAAGACAGGUGCUGCACGGCUGUCGUCAGCUCGUGUCGUGAGAUGUUGGGGUGAGGUCCGCA